UUUGCUAGGGGAGCCCAUCGGCUGAGAUUGUGAUAUAUUCACUAACCCUCACUACUUGAACCGGAUAAUACCGGCGUAAGGAAGCAGUUUU
rnacentral:ncRNA from 1 species